rnacentral:rRNA from 1 species
GUCCACGCCGUAAACGAUGAGUGCUAGGUGUCACGGGCUUUGACCCUCGUGGUGCCGUAGCUAACGCAAUAAGCACUCCGCCUGGGGAGUACGGCCGCAAGGCUAAAACUCAAAGGAAUUGACGGGGGCCCCGCACAAGCGGUGGAGCAUGUGGUUUAAUUCGACGCGACGCGCAGAACCUUACCUGGGCUAGAAAACACAGGAACCCGGGUGAAAACUCGGGGUGCUCUUCGGAGAAUCUGUGGUUAGGUGUUGCAUGGCUGUCGU